GGAUGAACGCUGGCGGCGUGCCUAAUACAUGCAAGUCGAGCGAACGGACGAGAAGCUUGCUUCUCUGAUGUUAGCGGCGGACGGGUGAGUAACACGUGGAUAACCUACCUAUAAGACUGGGAUAACUUCGGGAAACCGGAGCUAAUACCGGAUGAUAUUUUGAACCGCAUGGUUCAAAAGUGAAAGACGGUCUUGCUGUCACUUAUAGAUGGAUCCGCGCUGCAUUAGCUAGUUGGUAAGGUAACGGCUUACCAAGGCAACGAUGCAUAGCCGACCUGAGAGGGUGAUCGGCCACACUGGAACUGAGACACGGUCCAGACUCCUACGGGAGGCAGCAGUAGGGAAUCUUCCGCCAUGGGCGAAAGCCUGACGGAGCAACGCCGCGUGAGUGAUGAAGGUCUUCGGAUCGUAAAACUCUGUUAUUAGGGAAGAACAUAUGUGUAAGUAACUGUGCACAUCUUGACGGUACCUAAUCAGAAAGCCACGGCUAACUACGUG
rnacentral:rRNA from 1 species